GAUGGUGGUGGGCAAUUUUGUCUGCAACAUCCGUCACCUCAUUUCGACAGGGUUGACCCAGCUGAUCUGGUUGGCUAGAUGGUUGUUCCCUCUCUACCUCAUUGCUUCAGAAGUGUUGUCUCACAGCUGCAUGGUCACUGGAAGAGGACAACCAGAUAGAUGAUAGAAGAUUAUAUGAAUCUUUGCUCAAGAAUGAACUCUAUGAAUUGUUGGUUUCUGUUGAAACUUGAAGGCUUC
rnacentral:snRNA from 1 species